GAGAAUUCGUUUUAACCUCGUCACUGACUGGACUAGACUGUAAACUCCUUGGCGUCUGGGAUGGCUCAGCCGUGCCCAGCACCAAGUGCAGGCACUCAAACCCCUGUGGAGUGCCUCAGACUACUUCACCAUAGUCAUAAAUCCUGUCACAUCCCAGUGAUGCAGUUCAUGAGUCUCUUAAUCUAGCCUGGACUCUACUUUUGCAUUCAGACAGGCAGGGGAUGCCUCAUCCUUUGAAUACUGGCACAUUAAGAGCAGUGACAUAGGUAAGAACUGAACCCAAGCACUAUAAGAGAGGAUGUUAAGCAAGAUCUAAAAAUCAACGUGAUCAACAAGAGCAGUAAUCUUUUCUUUUCCAAGAAAAAAGAAUGGAAGAAACAGAAGGUACUGGGCGCAAUGUAUUAAACACUGUGUUUUGAAUGACUCGAGAUUCUACGACUGCCUGGAGGGGUUUUGCUGGAUCGGUGCAAUGUCAUGUGAUUAUUGGAAAUUAAUCCCUUUUUUCAAGAAUUUUUCAAGAAUUAGGUUAAGUUAGAUUUGAGCAAACUUAAUUACCUUGCCAGGCAUUUGUUUUUCAGAAACAUAAUAAUCUAUGUAUUUGAUUCAAUUAGUAGUAGGCCCAUGGGUUGUUCUGUAAA
rnacentral:lncRNA from 1 species